rnacentral:rRNA from 1 species
CCCUUAGAUGUCCUGGGCGGCCCGCGCGCUACAAUGUCAGCUACUGAAGGUUAAUGCUUUGAAAGAGAGCGCGCUCUCCUUUUAAUUGCUCGUAUGCUGGGAUAAAUGAAUGCAAUUUUGUUUUGAACGAGGAAUUCCUAGUAGCCAUGUUUCACUAGAAGAUGGCGAAUGCGUCCCUGCCCUUUGUACACACCGCCCGUCGCUCCUACCGAUGAGCGUUUUGGCGAAGACGGUUUGAGUAGCUGCGUAAUUUCGUGUUGUUGACUCCGGCAGUUUGAGCCUUCACGUUUAGAGGAAGGAGAAGUCGUAACA